AGCGCGCAGGCAGGGCACGACGUCAGGGCAUGCAGGCUCGGGCGGCAGCGGCCGUGGAGCGCGGUGGGCGUGGCACGAAGGUCGGCAGGGCUCGACCAUCGCGGCUGGGGGCUUGUGGGCAGGGACACGGAAGCUGGAGCUCUGGCCGAGAGAGGAAUGCGAUUUGGGGGAAGGAGACAUAGUAAGGAGAAGAGACCGAUUGUGUCACUGACGGAUGGACCCUAUGUGUCAUUGUGAUGAGAAGAAAGAAAUAGGGAAUGGGGUUUAGGGAAUCUGCUGGAGAUGCUCUAAGGUACCACCACACAUAAAACAAGCCGACCAACAAGGAGAAGCCCAUGCAAUCUGCUGCUCCACUUCAGAAGGAGCACGCGGAAGGCCGAGCUUGGAGCCCUAAAAUCAGGUCAAACAUUAAUUUAGAGACCAGGAUGCUACUAAGACAUCUGCUAAUGUCUUAUGCUGAAUUUUUGGAGGCUAUCCACUCUUUUGGUGAUCUGGAGCAAGUCAAGAGGAGUUUAGUGUUGUGUGUCUGUUAAGGUUUGCUGGUACUCCAGUUUUUUCCAGAGCU